rnacentral:rRNA from 1 species
GGAAUAUUGGACAAUGGGGGGAACCCUGAUCCAGCCAUGCCGCGUGCGUGAAGAAGGCCUUUUGGUUGUAAAGCACUUUAAGCGAGGAGGAGGCUACUGAAGUUAAUACCUUCAGAUAGUGGACGUUACUCGCAGAAUAAGCACCGGCUAACUCUGUGCCAGCAGCCGCGGUAAUACAGAGGGUGCAAGCGUUAAUCGGAUUUACUGGGCGUAAAGCGUGCGUAGGUGGCCAAUUAAGUCAAAUGUGAAAUCCCCGAGCUUAACUUGGGAAUUGCAUUCGAUACUGGUUGGCUAGAGUAUGGGAGAGGAUGGUAGAAUUCCAGGUGUAGCGGUGAAAUGCGUAGAGAUCUGGAGGAAUACCGAUGGCGAAGGCAGCCAUCUGGCCUAAUACUGACACUGAGGUACGAAAGCAUGGGGAGCAAACAGGAUUAGAUACCCUAG